CUGCGAUUGGCUCUCGCACAUCACGUGAUCCGAUGUCAAAAUGGCGUCUCCGAAUGGAGCUGAGGACUUUGAGCCAUCGUUGCUAAGUUAUGAAAAGCUUGAUCGAGCUUCGCCUGACCUCUGGCCAGAACAGUUGCCUGGGGUUUCUGAAUUUGCCGCAUCGUUUAAAAAUCCCAUAACAAAUUCUCCACCCAAGUGGAUGGCAGAGCUGGAGGCAGAGGACGUUGAAAUGUUGAAAGAGCUGGGAAGUCUGACCACAGCAAACCUGAUGGAAAAGGUUAAAGGGCUGCAGAACUUGGCGUAUCAGCUGGGCUUGGAAGAGUAAAUCGAGACUCAUCAGACCAGGCAACAUUUUCCAGUCUUCAACUGUCCAAUUUUGCCAAAGAAAUGACAAGAGGAAAAUUCCUUAACAUCCUGGAGAGGCCGAAGAAAUGAAGACUGAAGGAUGUCCUGAUUGUGUUCGGACCUAUAUCAAGAGACUCUGUAGCAAAAUAACAGUGCCAUGAUCUGUAACAUUUGAAAGCUUAGUCGGAUAAAUAUAUUUAUAUAUGCAGAGUUACUGCUUUAUUGGGUACAUGUGCAGGUAUUGGCCAUUUUAUCAGGCAAAUUUGCGCUGUAGGUGCCGUGACUACAUUAGUAAUUAUUACAGACUGUAGCUGAUCUGUUGAUCUGACUCUGCUAACUGGGAAUCAUUCAAGCGCAUGCGGUGUAGCAGUGACACUGAGUCAGUAGUAGUGCUGGUGUGUGGUGCUGGUGUGUAGAAUGUGCAGCAGUGUUACUGGGUUUUUUUUUUAACUCUGUUAUUGAGGAUUGAGAAAAAUAUGAACAGUGGAAAAUACUAUCCAGCCAAAUGCAUCUUGUGGUCAGAAAUGUCUAAAAUGCUGCUGAAGAAUAACACAAACUAUCAAAGAGCACAAUCCAUACUGCUGUCAUAACCAGCAAAACACACACUAUUACGUCAGUGUGACUGUCAUGCUGAACAUAUUAUAUGCGAUCAGAUUAGCAGUGGUCUUAUGUUCUAGAUUCUUUAUUAUUACUAGAUGAGGAUGGGAUACAGGACACCCUGUAUUGAAGGUGUACCUGAUAAAAUGGCCAACAGGUGUAGUUACAGGCAUGGCGAGCUGAUGCAAAUUCCUGUACAUUUAGAUUGUGUAAAAUAUUUUUGAUUGUUUUUUCCUUAGUUAAAUGCUUGUUUUUGUUUGUCUGCUCUGUAUAUUUAUUUACUGACUAAAUUACGAUUGUUAUUUUCUAGUUAACACUAUUUGUUAAUAAAACAUUAUUAUUUUUGAUUA